GAGGCCCGGCAGGCCUAGCUGGGAAAGCCUGGCUUUAUCUUCUGUGUCUUGUGCGCCACGGGGGUGAGGGGAGUGGGCUUUAUUUUCUUUCUUCUUCAAUAGCUAGAUUCUGUGGUUGCAGUGUAGAGAAAGCUGCACUCCACUGCUCUCUCUCCUCUUGCUUGCAGAAUGCAGCAGAAACUUAGUUCUUGCUUUCCUUCCUAUGGACUCCAAGGAGGCCUUUCCCUGCCCAGCUGCUCCCACCCCUCCUCACUGCAGGGGCUUGGCCGAGGCACGUCAGCCCUGUCCGGCUGUGGGCCCAAAAUAGAAGGGAAGGUGGAGCAGCUGGGGGCAGGCAAGGCUGAGAUGCCACCGGGAGGGGGUGGCCAGCCCACAAAGGGGUCCGGGACAGCGUGAUGGAUGGAUGAGCACAUGCAGGGAGAGGGCUGCACAAUGGCUCCGAUUACAGCACAAAUGCCUGCAAACAGCUGACAGCCAUGGAGAACGGAUGAAAUGGGAUUAGAGCAUCCUUUCCAGAGACAGCAUGGACUGCAGAGCGUGACAAUACGCUCCCUGUCAACCCAGCUUUGUGGCUAAUUCCGCCAGCCUGGAACCAUCUCUCCCCCAAGGGCCUGGGGCAGGGACCUGGAGGGGAGGGGGGAAACGGGAGCUAUCACUCAUUAGGGUCUCCAGGGAGACUGAGCAUGGAGCCAUAGAGGUCCUAGGCUCUUCCAGAGGCCAGGACCAUCUUACUGCCCAGCGAAGGAUUAUGGAGGUCUUUCCCUUUCCAGAGUCUUGUUUUGUUUUUCUUUUAUAGUACUGAAGAUAGAACUCGGGGUCUUUACAUUGACCCAUAUACCCCGGUCUUUUUUUUUUUUUUUUCUGUUUUUGAGACUGUGUCUCACUAAGUUGCUCAGGCUGGACUUAAAUUUGAAAUUCUCCUGCCUCAGCCUCCCAGAGUGCUGAGAUUACAGGUGUAUGCCACCACGCUCAGCUGUGUCUUGCUGUUUUUAUCCUACCCUCAUUUAACCCCACAGAUGACAGUCUUGGGUAACUGAGAGACUGGACCACCUCCUACCCUGUUUCCCAGCAUGACCUUCGUGGAUGUGUGAGAUGGAUUCAUUUUUCCUACCCAUCGAUUGAUGGGAGGUCAGAGAACACAUAGCACAGAGCUGGAAACUAAGCAUCCAGCAUCCCACUGUUAUUCUUACUGGUGUUAUUGUUGGACUGUCCAGUUCCCUGGGGCCUCCUUUGGCCCACACUCUGGUGGGAUAUGGAUAGAGUGAGACCUGAGGAGCUGCCCUGGACUUGUGGGUGACUUCUCCCACUCCCACCUCAGCGAGGUCUCAGAGACCCCUGAGGGGCGGUGGGACACUGCCAGGCCAGCGUGUAGCCCACGUGCACAGCUGGGUCACGGCCAGCUGGCCAGCACUGUAUAUUCAUGUUUAUCUUCGCUCCCUUAAAGAGGCUGCGGCAGAGGUGAAAGGAAUUGAUGUUUAUUUUGAUAACGAGUUCUCAAUGCGUUUGCAAACUAAUAAAAUCAACUCAUUAGGCUGCAUGUUUAAUUCACAACUGUACUGUGGGGAGACUUCCCUGGUGGCUGAUGGGUAAUGUGGACUCCCUUCUGAGCUGGGGGGAGGGUCUACAGUACUUAAACUCUCUGUGACCAGCAGCACACAUCCAGACUCCUGCUUUUUCUGCCUCCACUUCCUGGUUGGAAGCCAGAGGCAUAGCUAGUACUGUCUGCCCCUCGGCCCUGGUGGCAUCUUCCCACUGUGAGCUGCAGGGGCUGGAGAAGGGCAGGAGCCAGGCUGGACUCAUGCUCCCCACCCCCAAAGUCAGUGGGGAUGGGGCCCUUGGUGAACUCUGCCAUGUGUGAUCCCUGUGGGCUCUUUCUAGUGCUGUUCCUUGCCUGGGAUAGCAAUGUGGCAGCCCCGUGAUAGGGGUUUCAGUUAUGGAAACUGAGGCUGAGAGACCCUCAGUAAUUCAUACAAGGUCUCACCCCUGGUCAGUUUGUGAUAGAACCAGAUCUCAGACGUGGGCCUCAGUGACAUUCCUCGUGUUGUUCACUCACUGCACCAGCAGAGGCCAUUAGAAGAUUAAGGGAGUCCAGACCCUGGCCAGGACUGUUGAGGGGUCAGCCAGGGGAUCCUGGAUGUCCAAGGAGGAGAGUGUUAUGGCUUGUGUCUAGAUGUCCCCCCAAAGCCUCAUACAGUCAUAGGUGGAGCUUUUUCAGAGAGGGCUGAAUCUAGAGUGUGACUGAUUCAUGGUGCAGUGCUAGGAUUAAGCGUGCUAGGAUUAAAUCAGUACACUGAUUGGUUUAACAUCGCCUUAAUCCGGGUAGCCUGGAUACAGUGUAGGGGACAGAAAGAAGCUUUUCUUAUCCCUUGCUUAUUGCUUUGCUAUGACUACCACACUGCCUUGGAUCCAGAUGACUUAAACCUCUACAAAUUGUGAACUAAAUAAACCUUUCCCUCUUUAAUUUUGGCUGUUAGGUAUUUUGUCCCAGCAAGAGAAAACUAAAACAGGGAGGCACAAGGACUGUGCCAGGGCCUGGCCUUCUGGAGGAUUUACCAGCAGUCACAGGGUAUGCUCUGUGCUGGGCAGAGGGGCCCUGACCCUGCCACAGAGAACACAUUGGCUUCAUGGUGGACCUCUUUGGAAAAUACUGGGUGCUAGACUGGGUUGGGCCUUGGUGUUCUGCCCAGAGAAGAUUUGAGGGAGGCCCGGGCUUCCUGUCACAGCCCCAGUGCCAGAAGAGAGGAAGGGACAGAGCCUAGAAAGGGGUGAGUAGGGCUUCGUCCCUCAGCAGUGUCACCAGGUGGGGAGAAGGGGCCAGAGAGAAAGACAGAGACUGAGAAUCUUAAACCCUUUUCUUGGCCCUUAGUCUCCUAGAAAAGAACCAGAAGUUUGUGUCACAAACCUGUGUGAACUAGGCAAAGAGCCUCUGGGCCGCCUCUUGCAUAAUGACAAUGUGACCACGUCUGUCAGAGGAUGAGGAUUUCGAUUUCUAGUAAAAUGUGCUUUCAUUCUGUGCAGAAGACACAGAAUCAAAGCUGGCAGCCUAUUUCACAUCUUUUGGAGAGUUCUGCCAUGCUUCUGGUGGUGCUCAAAUUCAGUGGAGUUAAGGGAUAAGAUAGGGCACCUCUCCUCCAUGCCCUGCUGAUCCCCAUACUCCUGUCCUGCUCCCCUCUGACAUGCACAUGCACCCUUCCAUUCACUCACCAAAUGCACUGCAAGCUAUACACACAUCUGCUCACACAGAUACAUUCACUCACCCCCUCUCAGGCUUUCCUGGACAUAUGCUAUUACAUGUAAAACACGCACAAACACAUGUCAUGAACGCAGGUGCACGUGCCCCACCUCCUUGCAGGUACUCUAGGGGAAAUAAGAGGUGCUCUCUGCUCACCACCAUCAGGAUCCUCCUUGCAUGAAACAGUUCCGUGAGUCACAGACACCUAGUCAGUGACCCAGAUAUCAAGAACCAGGCACACUGUCCUUGAGAUCCCUAGCCACUUGGAACGUGCAGUGGGAGAUUUGGGCUUCGAUCAGAAUAAUCGACUCACCUGCAACCUGUCUGGAGUGUCUUUGAUGGGGUACGCAGCUUCAGGGCAUGGAGUGAUGGACCGGGUACAUUUAGGGUACCCCUGAUGGGUCUCCUGCUUUUUCCUUGCCGUAGCCCCCUUUUGAAGAGCUGAUGGGACCUUGGGCUCCUCUCUCUAGGAAAUCGCGUGCACAUGCAUGAGCACAUGCAUGAGUAACUUUUAAGGUAUCUAAUUUCAGGGAGUUACCACCCUUGCCUGGGACUCCUUGAGGGCACUGGCUCUAAAGCAUUCUGGAAACGUCCUCCUAGAGACUGAUGUCAUGUCCCUGGGAAGGUGGUGUCCCCCUUGGCAUCUUGGGGCCAGUGGCAUGCAGGGACGUGGACACCCUCCUGCUCACUGCUCUCCGGACAGCUUUCCUGUGCAGCUGCCAGACGAGUGCUUGCUCCAGGCCUUUCUAGCUAGUUCCCUCUUCGCACAGCGCCUGUGGGGUGUGGAGGUGGGUGAAGGUGGGUCACUUCCUCAUCCAGCAGGCGUCUACCUCCUCGGGUUCCCAGGAGGGCUGCUGCAGCUUUCCCACCCACUGUGGCCUGCCAUGCCUCCUCCUUGUGCUCUGUUCGGCUCUUACGGGAUGCAGAGACCCUGGAGUUGCACACAUGGGUAGGGAGAGGAUGCCUUUUGCUUCUCUCUAGAGCCACUCCUAAUAGACAAGCUUUGAGAUUUCCCUCAUCUUCAGGACAAACCUGCUUUUGAACCAUUUCUUUGGUCAGCUUCUGUCUUGGUUACUUUUCUGGUUGCUGGAACAAAAUACAUGACACUCAAAAGGAGGAAAGAUUUAUUUCAGCUCACAGUUUGCAGAAGUCUCAGUCCGUAGUUGGCUGGCUCCAAGGCGGGGCAGUGUAGCCAGUGGGCAUUGCAGAGGAGACACUGUUCAUGGCAGGCAGAGGCAGCAAAGGCAAGCCACAAACUACAAUAGCAGCUUGUAGUGCUGGUAUUAGAUGACGGAACUGUAGGAGAUGAGGCCUACUGGAGGAAGUGAGGUCCCUGGUGGCUUCCAUGAGGGGACAUUGGAACCCCCGGCUGUUCCUUUCUCUCUGUUUCCUGCCCCCUAUGAGGUGAAAAGGCCUCUUGCACCCAUACCCCCUCCAUGAUAUACUAUGCUGCUCCAGGCCCAGUCACAGAGCCAAGCAACCAUAAACUGAAACCAUGACCCAAAAGAAACCCUUCCUCCAUAGAAGUUUAUAAUUUCAGGGAUUUUGUUUCAGUGGCAGAGAGCUGACUAAUACAAUUAAGCUCACCAGCCCAUCAGCAUGUGUCUCUCUCAUUCCUAUGCGUCACCUUUGGCCACCAGGCUACUCACAGCACGGCCAUCCUGGUGGGGUUGGCUGGGGACAGCUCUCCUCUCCCUGCUGGAAGGUCUGGAGACUCUACAAACCCCUCCUGGCCGCUCUUCCUCCUCUCCUGUUUGGCACUUGAAUUGACAGAUACCUUUUCCCAGGAAUCUAACUUUUCUCUCCCAAAGAAUGUGAGACAGAGAGACUAUUCCUGAGGAAAGUGUGGAACAAAUAGGCAGGGACCAACUUCCUCACGUGUCUUGCCCCAUGGUCCAGCUCACAGCCUUGUAUACUGGGAGAGUCCAGAAACACAGGCAUGGGUUAUUCCCACGUGUUUCUAUCUUAGCCUACAAGAGCCCCUUUUGCUAGGCCUGUUCUGUUCCUCAUGGCCCAGAAUUUUCCCCAGCACGACCCUCAGUUUGGAAGUUUCCAAAGUGAAGAACAAAAAUGCCAAUCACUCACAGAGGCCAUUCCUGCUUCUUGGGGUUUGCCCUUCCCACGCUAUUUACAGAACUGAAAACCUGAAUUCUCCCCGGAGAGAAAGCAUGUCUCAGUUUCCUAUCAGAAACCAUCUCCGGAGUGAGCCAAACAUGGACUGGAAACCUAGACUCAAUCGGGCACAGUGGUGCACGCCUGUGUUCCCAGCCACUCAGGAGGCUGAGGCAGGGAGAUUGCAAGUUUGGGGCCAGCCUGAGCAACUUAGUGAGACCCGGUCUCAAAAUAAAAUAAAAAGAGCUGGGGAUGUAGCUCAGUCACGGAGGAAGCCUGGUUUGGAUCUCUAAUACCAAGAGGAAAAAGAAGCCCAUUUUCAGGAUUUGUGGGCAGAAGUGGGGUUGGAGAGAAUGGGUACCAGGUUGCAGAGCCCUUCCACCAACCAAGCACCUCAACAGAGGUUGGCUGUUACUAUUUGCUUACCAGUGUUCUCUGGUCUCUGGCCCUGCCUCACUUAAAAGAGAGGCUCGGUGGGCUCCUGACCCCCAUGCGUUUUGCUCCCUGAGUCUCUGGCUCCUGGACUCCUGCUGCUGCUAAGAGCUGCCGGCUUUCAUCACGAGGGAGGCCGUCUGCGUCUGUGUUAGUCCAGGCGUGAAGCAAAGUAAUAAGAAACAAGCUUGACGUGCCCCCCCAAGCGCCCCACAAAUAAAUAGGAUGUUUGUGGAGGAAAACCAGCACAGCCCCAUCUCUGCUAAUUGGAUCUCAUCAGCACUCCAAGGCCACCUCAUUUUGUUUGGUCUGAGUGGAUUUUUUCCUUAUCCUUAAAAAAUAGGAAGGAAAAAGCCAGCUGCACUGUUUUCUGUGGUCUCUCUGACUUGGCAGGGAUGUGGGAUAUCAGCUUUCUCAGACUUGGUGAAUCCAAGGAGGAGAGAAGAGACCACUGAUCUGUCAGUCACUCAGCAAGCAUUUCGAUCCACUAUUAUGGACCAAGUGUGCCACAAAGGGCCGGAGUUGCUCCUGUGAAUGUGAUGGUUGGAUGAUUGGCUGGCACCCGGAGUUAGUGAGGACGCCAGCCUCUCAGGGCUUGCAGGCCGGGUGGAAGUGUGCUGGGGGUCAGGUAAUGAGAAGCCAGCCAAGGGAGGCAGUGAGGCACCUGCCGCAGGUGGGACAUUGUGAGCCUGGGGUUUCUAUUAUUCCUCCCACUCUCCUCUCCUCUCUCAGCUCGGCCUUCUCCAAGAGCUACGGAAGCUCUCCAGUGGGGCCCUCUGUUUUAGCCUCUAGAAAGCUCUUUCACGUCCUUCUCAUGAGUACCCUGCUUCUGAGUACAAAUUUGAUGCUCCCCGGUCCCCCACACUUGCCUGAGUGCCCCUCCUCCCCUGUCCUGUCAGCCUUUCUCUCUCUGCUGGUCCUGCCCUCAGCACGCAUCUGCUGGGUCUGUCACCGCUGCAGGCCCUCCUGUUGCUCUGGCCUCUUCCCUGGGCCUCUUGAAGCCAUGGCUCUGCCUGAACACCUCACUGCCCAGGGCAUCACCCCACCCCUGUCCCCCUCCUUUGAAACUUCCCCGUCAGAGUUGCUUGUGAUCUUGGUAUGUCAAUAAAUGCCCUCAUUGACCACCCAGUGGUGACCUCUCCUUUCUUCUUGACUUCCCUCUGUCCUCUAACUCUUCCCUCCAGGCCCAUUUUGGAAUCUCCUCUUGGGGCAGUGGCGCAGUGGAUGCUGGUACCCACCAGAGUCUCUACCCUGUGGCUUCUGUCGUGAUCACUGGGCCCGUCUUGCCACCCACAGCUCCUGCUGAGCUCAUCAGAUCUGCUGGCUGUGGGGACAGUCUGCAGGCCGUCUGCCUUCCUCCAGCCCCAGGACUCAGCAGGAUGAGGAAGAGAAGGUGUUCAUGGGGACCACAGAAUACCUGCCGGUCCCUUUGCCUGCCACCACCAAUCUUCAGUGGCAUUGUGCUGUGUUGUAAUGCUGUGUGUCCUGGGCUGUGACUCCCUGCGUGUCAGGAUGCCAAGUCCCCUUCCUGUGCCCUGUUUGCCGUGUCCGUUAUGUAGGGUGUGGGGAUGGCGUCAAGGGCAGGCUCUGAAUUGACUUUUCCACCCUUCCCAGAACACAGCCGUUAGUGGGUCGUUAGCUGCCCAGCAGCUGAAUGGGGCUCUGUGCUCAGGACAGCAAAUGUGAGCACUGUGUUUCUGGACCCCCACCUGGAAACCGCUCCCAACCUUGCCCUGGAAACACCCACCGUGGCCAGGGAGCUGAUGAGCUGGCGCCUGGGCUGGGAGCCACCUCAGCAGGCGUUCCCGCAUGUGGCCUCUUCAGGGGACGUGCUGCCCAUUUGGCCCUGGGUUCUGAGAUGGGCACUGUCCUCCUGCGGAUGGACGAUGCUGUCGGUAGGUUCUGGAACUCCCUUCUCUCUCCCCAGCGCCCUCUCAUUGAGCUCUCUCCCCAGGGCUCCUAUUGACAGGGCACUCAUCGUGACCACUGGCUUUUGUGUCCCAGGAAGUGGCCCAGGUGGGGGACACCCUGAGAGGAUGCAGCGUAUUCCAGGGCCUAUGCCAUAGAGGAAGCUAGAUGAUCUGGGAUGGAAUUCCCAGCACCGCCCUUCAGAAGCUUGUGUGACCUCUGGUAACUUCCUUGAUCUCUCUGAAACUUGGUUUCCCCUUCUUUAAUCACGACUGACUGCUGCUCUGAUAGGGCAGCCUGGAGGAGAAAGGUCCCUAGCACAGGAUUCUGAAGCCUGAGUGACUGCUGCCCUGUUUGCAAAUUCAGAGUUGGGACUGGGAGCAACAGGGGCUCGUGCUGUUUGCCCCUGGAAGGCCAGCCUGUCUCGUGUCAGGUCAUCCCAGAGUGUUGGUCAUUUUGGCACCAAGGGGUGCUGCUUUUCAGAGAAGGAUGGAGUCGUUCCUCCUGUCCUGUCAGUAGGUGCCAGAACAUCACAGAACCUUCUAGGGGAGGGUCCUUGGUGCACAGUGUAAAUUCUCCCUCUAGUGCCAGAAGUCUCUCUUUAGCUCUCAGUGGCCCAGUGUCCACCUGGACAUUUCUGCCUCCUGGAGAGCAAAGCAGGUCGUGGCCUGGUUCCCCUACUCUGGGGCUCCACACACCUAGUUCUGCCAGCCUAGUGUUCUUUUCCAAGUGGGGAGAUGUUGGGACUCCCUGGGCUUCAUCCCAUGUACCCCACCUCAGGCCAUGUGACAAUGUCUGCAGACACUUUGGGUUGUCACAGUCUAAAUGAGGAGGAGUGUUAAGUGCUUCUGGCACAGAGUAUGUGGAGGCCAAGGAUGCUGCUAAACAGCCCAUAGGACUCAGGCUGGCCCUCAGCAAGGCUGGUCCAAGCCCAAAAUGCCCACAAUGUCAGGUGGAGAAACCUGCGUCACACCAGCAUGCAUCUCUAAGGGCAGGCCAGGCCUCAACACAGAGCUCCUUGUGUGGGUUUCCUGGGGAUUGAGACACCAGCAACGGCAUCCAAAAAAGGAUUUUGCAAAGGAACUCCGUUUUAAAAAUAAAACCCCCAAAAAAACCCUUUUUCUUCCAUUCAUGUAUUUACUUACUGAAGCUCUGGAGCACAGGCACUCUGCUGAGAACCAGAGGUUCCUAAGGACUGCUUCUGAGAUGGGGAGCUUUUACCAAGGGCUGGUGACAGGCUGUGUGCAAAGUUGGGGAGAAGGUGAGGGAACCGUCCCUGCUCCCGAGGCGCCCUGGGGUCUGGCCUGGCCCCACUUCUGCACAGGGAGCCUGAGGCAAGGACCUGGGCUCCUCCUUGGUCUCUGGGCUUCACAGGAGACUGGUGUGGGGAGCAGGGCUCCACACAGCAGCCUCACUGCUGUCAUGCCCCAGUUCCACGACCUCAGUGAACUGCCCCCAAUUCUGGCCCACAGUUUCCCAAACCUGCCCAACCCACCUACCGCCUGUGUUGGCUUUUUGCAGCUGCCACAAGAAAAAACAAAAAACCAAGCUAGGUGGUUUCAAACAUGGUUCUGGGAGCCUGGGAGCCUGAAGUUCAAAAUUAAGGUAUGAGCAAGGUUGACCGUGGGGGAGAACUGGUCCAGGACUCUCCCUGGCUGCUGGUCCUUUGGUCCCCUCCCUACCCCCCUACUUCCAUACCUCCAUUGUCACAUGGCCUCCUGUCUGUGCCCCAACCAUCUUCUCUCUGUCUCUGUGUCAUGUUUUCCUUGUUUUAAAAGACACCAUCAUUGAAUCAGGGCCUGCCCAUUCCGGAAAGACCUUGUUUUAACUUGAUGGUAUCUGCAGUGAGCCUGUUUGCCAACCAGGUCACGUUCUGAAGUUCCAGGGGAUGUGAAUUUGGGGGAAAUGCUCUUCAACCUAGUAUUACUCCCCCAAGGGAUCAAUGUGGUUAAACUCCCAUCACUCUAAAGGUGCAGGGUCAGAAGACUCCAAAGCCUCCCGAGGUUGGGUUACAGGGCACAGACCCUGCACCCUGUGUCCUGUCCCCCCAUGGACCCAGGGCAGCUUGGGCAGGGAUUGGAAUGCAUCAGGGUGAGUGGCCUGGAUUAGUUGAUCUGAGCUCUUCAAGGACAGGCAAGGGUACCCAGUGUGUGGACAGGGGGGAGGAGUGGAGAUGGGACUGGCUGGGCCCUGGGGGAGGGGACUGUUUGUUUUCUCAGCAGUAAAUGCCUCUUGAUGGGCUGUGGUUUGCACAGGGACUUGAUGCCAGAUCAAGUUGUCCACAUCGAUUGGAUGGCCACAAAGCUCUGUCACAGAGCAGCAGAGGGGCCGGCAGGAGCUGCCUGAUGGCCUGUCCUCACAGGUCCUCAGGCUUCCUCAGUCACGGGAGGCGAAGGGCAGAGUGACCAGAGCAGGUGGGGCUCUACCCUAAAAAGGUUCUGGGGUGGGGCAGUGCUGACCCUGGGACCUAGAGACUGCUCUGCCCCUCUUAGGCCUCCCUCUCCCCCAGGGUGAGCAUGCCUGUUGGGAAAGAGUCUCCUGAUUAAUGAACAAAUUACCAUCCUUGUUAGCAGCACAAAUAGGUCUUUGGGAGAUCAAGGAGCCAAAGCUUGGGAAGCAGCCACUAAUUUAACGAGGAGGAUGAAAUCCAGAUGUGGCCUCUGGCCAGCAGACAGCUGCCGCUUCUGAGUGCGUGGGGAGAAACCCUGAAGAGACUGGACAGCCGAACAAUGAGGCAGAAUGAGGGAUAGCCGGAGAAAGGUCAGGCCACCCCAGAUGCAGGCCACAAGUCAGCACCCCCUCUCCCCUUCCAUUGCAAAGGCCUCUUUGCUGGAGAAACCCAGGCAUCGCCACGUGCUUGUGGCUGUUUAUCUGAUAACCACAAUGACAAAGGACUGCCGGGGAUGCAGGACCACUUCUAAGUGGAUUCUUACCGUAGUAAUCCCAGGGGCAGGGUGCUGUGCACUCUGGACAGAUAGCUGUGGGUGUGGGGGACAGACCGAUUCUGUCAAGCAGCAGAGUUAGGUACCCUCUGGACUGUAGGGCCCUCAGAGCAGCUCAGGGGGCCCUGAGCCACACGGUGGAGACCACGGGCUUAGCUGUCUAAGGCCAGGAGCAGCCUGGGUGCUGGCUGGGACUGGGGAGGGGACUCAGAUUUUACAGGGAGCCCCAGGCAGGAGCGGCGCGGCACGGGUGGGGGUGUGGGUGUUGAGCCGUGUUGGAGAAGGAAGAGGAAAGUGAGUUACGGCACCUUCUCUCGCUCCCCCUCCCUCCUUCCCUCCCUCCUUCUGUCUCCUUCUCCUUCCUCUUCCUUCCGCCCUCCCUCUUUCUUUCUAUUGCCUCUUCCUCCUUCCCUCUGUGUACGUAUAGUGGAAGCGGCUAGAAACACAUCCCUGGGCCAAGCCCCUUGUGCAACACACGACAAUGAAAAGAUCCUGGAGUUUCAAAAAAUGGGUGAAAGGAGGAGCCUAUCUAGGUUCAUGCUACACUCGCCACUUGUUCCUUAACCUGAAAUGUCUAUUUCCAUCUAUUAGGGACGUGGCUAAAAUUUCACCUAAAGAUGUGUUCCUGCUACUUAAUAAAAACAAACUAGGUGAAAGCCCAGUUCUCGAGGAGGCCGAGCCAGGAGGGUUGUCAUUUGGAGCCCAGCCUGGGCAGCUUAGUGACUUAGCAAGACCUCAUCUCACAAGAAAGAAAAAUGUGCACUCUAGCUCAGUGUGAAGGCCCUGGGUUCAAUCCCCCAAUACAAUAUGGCAAGAAAAAAAAAAGCAGGCUUGAGCUGCAGGUGCUUAUUAUACUUCUUGUGCUGCAUAACUGGAGGUGGAGGCACCGUGACUUACCCAAGGCCUCAAGGGACCAGUGAGACAGCAGCAGAGCCCUGUGCUCUCCCUCCCUGCAGGCUCGCCCACCUGGGCUGUAGGUGCACAGGUGACACUGUGCAGACUCGGGGACUCUGCUGCUCCCUGUGGGCCCUCAAAGCCCUACAGAAGGAAGAAGCCCACAGUCAUGCUGUGCCCUGGCUCCAUGCUGGACCAGCGAUUUCCGUGCGGGAGGGUCAUUUACUGACAGUGACGGUUUAAAGCGGUCCAGCUUAGCCAUUGGUUUCUAUAAAGAGCAGAGCCGCAUCCCCGGGGAGGGAGAGCCAGCUUGGGGAGCAGGGAGAUGAGCACUAUCUGGUUAUGGAUUUUAUCGAGUCAUAAACAAGGCUGGAGAAUAAACAAUUAAAGUCGGCUGAUGCACAGGGCUGCCUUGGCCAGCUGGCUGUCAGGGAGCCUGUGUCACCAAAGCUGCCCUCUUGGCCCAGCACAGCUGCUUUGCAGAGCUGUGUUGCAGACCCAAUGAGGGCAGGGAUUAGGGCUCAGGACUGCUGGACCCCAGCCCCAGCCCCGGCCAGCUGCCUCUGAAUACAGCAGACCCGUUCCCUCUGAGUGUGCUUAGAGAGCUCCCGGGUGAUGACAGGGGUGUAUACUGGGGCACUGCUGAUGAGAAUUGGGUCCCAGCACCCUAGCACCCUCCCCAGGGGAGGUGUGAUGGGAAUGUCCAGGGUUUAGGACACGGGAACAACUCUUCACUCAGACACCCACCGGCUGCAUGGCCUCAGCAUAGUGACCCAACGCCUCAGAGCCUUCUCAUCUGUAACCUUGGAAGGACAAUAUUUAGCGCUGUAGGGGUGCCCUGAAAACUAAACACAAUAACAAGUGGCAAACUCACAAAGCAAGAUGAGAUCCUGUGAACAGACAGCUGCAGGGCUGGGUGUGGGAAGAUAAGGAGACAGCUGUCAUUCCAGUCCCAAGGGCUGGGACGAGAGGCACACGAGGGGCAUCGGGGUCGCAGUAACUCUGCACAUUCAAGGACUACACAACCAGUUAGAAACACAGUAUCAGGAAGUCCUACACACAGAGGAUUAUGAUUCCCAUUUUAUUCAACCGAGAUCGCAGGAGUUAGAUUUGCUGAGUCAGAUGAUUCUAAGUACAGGGUUGAGAUCCCAUCCCGGGUGGAUCUUGUGUCCACAUUGAGAAAUCCUGCUACCUGGUUACCUCCCCUUCCCCUCUGGCCAGCUCUCCUCCUGAGCCAAUAGUGGGCAAGGCUAGCGGCCCACGUAGGCAGAUUAUCCACAGCACCAGCCCCUGUGAGGUGGGAGAAGCUGAAGUGAGGGAAAAUGAGUAGGGGAAGGAGGUUUCCAGCACAGAGAAACCGAAGUAGAGCCUGGGAAGCACCAGGCCAGGUGCAGUCAGGGGAGGUGAGACCAGGUGCACUGAGCCUGGGUCCCUAAACAGGCAGGUGUCAGAGUCCCACUUGUGCCUUCCUGGGCUGGAGUGCAGGAAGAGGCCAAUCCCUUUUGUUCCAAGACAGCUUAGUACUCCCACCUCUGCCCAAAAGUUUUCAGUUGUGGCGGGGAGCUGUCCCCAGGUCAGAGUGGUGCCACAGACCACAGCGAUAGUGAGGAUCAAUGAAGGUGGGACCAUCGUCCUGUGGUGUCUAUCAUCCUGUGGUGUCUCUUCUCUUAGGGAUAGGGGAGCUCUAGUCCCACUCCACGAUGGGGACUGCAGGGUAGUCCCUAUGGACUCCUGGGACAUAACAUUGUAAGAAACAGUUACACCAUCAGCCAGUGCCCUGGGAUACUGGGCAGGGAGGCCAUGAAGAAUACAGAAAUGCACAGACAUGUAGCUAUAUUGACAGAGAAAAUGCAUUGUCAUAUAAAAUAGUCAUUGUGAUCUAAGAUGUUUUCAUUAUCUCACACAAACCCAUUUUAUGAGUAAGGAAUCUGAGGACCUUGAAGGCCUUGACCUCCGAUUUCCACGAUGCCUCAUCUCAGGGCUUCCUUCAUCUAACCACCUGGGUUAUGUCCACCAGGCCAUCCCACUGCUCGGAUGCUGGUCUGGGAUGGCGGGGAGCCCGACAGGAGGGGCCUGACCCCAGCACUCUGGCUCCCUGCUGCCCUCCUGGCUGCUGCAUGCAUUCCUGCAGACCUGUCCUUGCCAGGGCCUUGGGGGUGGACACUAGGCCUGCAGUAGUGUGAACUCGGCCAGGCGCACCCCCAGACUGCCUCCUAGCCCCUGUGAGCUACAAUCCUUGCGGUUUCCUGUCUGCCCCUGGGGCUGUGGGCAGAGCAGCUGGGACCGUCUGGAGCUGGCCUGGGCCCAGACCACCCUCCUGUGACUCCACACUGCUCAUUCCUGUGGGGCUGCCCAAGUGUACUUGUGGUACAGAAGAGGGGGCCACAGUACUCUUCUGGGAGGUCCUGCAUCGCCCAGCCAACAUGCCGCCCAGGGGACAAGGCUUAGUCAAAAGCCGGAGGGUGAGGGGUCACCCAGCAAGUGUUGCUAAUAACCCCACCUCCUCCCUGCACCCUCUCCUUCUCUGCCGACUUGCUGCACGCUCGUGUACUUGGUUCACGGGGUUAUCCAGACACACCAGGGCCCUUCACACGCCCUGCCUUCCACCCCAGGCUGCAUCUCCAGAUGGUUACCCUCUGCUGCCCUUUCUCACGCCUGAAGUGAUGAUGUGGAUGCCCAUGUCUCUGGUGUGGCUCUAGGGUUGGUUCUAGGCGCUGAGGGCGCAGCCAGAGACGUCCCAAACUGGAAGAUCACCUUGUUCUCUGAUCUGGCCUCUUGGUGUUUCCUUUCUGGUUGAAGAGAAACUGACAGAAAACAAAACCUCAGUUUGUAUACAUUGGAUGCUGGUAAAUGCUGGGGAGUCGUCAGAAGGGGCCCAGUGGAUAUGUGCACACUGAAUAUAUGUGUGUGCUACAUGUCAGUGAUUUGCAUAUGAAUGAAUAUGUACAUGGAGUAUAUAUAGUGUGUACAUGUCUAAGUGCCUGUGUGUGCAUGUUAUGUGUUCAUGUGUAUAUACCUGUGUGUGUACCUGUGUACUUGUAUAUGUAUAUAUGUAUGUGGUGUUUGCAUGCAUGUGUGCGUAAGUGAAUGCGUGUGUGUGCAUGGUGUGUGUAUUGCAUUGGUGAGUGUGUUUCUCUGCUGACAUGUGUUUCUCUGCCUAUGUAGGGAGCCUUGCUGGGGCACAUUUGGGGCUGUGGAUCCUGCUUGUGACAUCUGAUAAACUUUCAGAUGUCACAGAAAUGAGAGGCAGCACCUGGGGAGGGAUGAGCACAAGCAUCUGAGCGCCCAGGAGAAGGGCUGCUGAGACUCAGACCACCAGGUCCCCUCCAGUGCUGCAGCCUGAUGUGGUCGUGGUGGGUGAUAGCCAGUGACUAACCUGCAGAGCCCCCACAUUGUCACCAACACUGCCAGCACCGUCUCAGGAAUUGUGAAGAUGGACAGUGCCCCAGUUGGGGCCCCAAAGGUGGCGGUGUUUAGUACAAUUAGAUGUAGGAAGGUGGGUUUUAAGAUGGGAAGAAUAGUGGGUAGACCUGGGCUGGAAUUCAAACUUACUCUCUGAGAUACAGGGCAUUUUCUUAACCUCCACACUGUAGGAUUUCCUUCUUUUAAAGGAGGGUGCCGCAUCCAAUCUUACAAAUUCCCAAUGUGGAUUAAAGGUGCUAAGGCAGCUAAGAUACCCAACCCAGAUCCAACCCAGCUCAGAGCUCAAAGAAAGAAGGGCCAGGGAAGGUCAGUGAGGGAGCAGGAACAAAAUAAAAAGACUGAGCCACCAAACCAAGGCGCUCAGCCUUCCUCACCGCCCCAGCAGGGAAGGAGCAGGAGAGCGGAGUUGGACACUAGCAGUCACAUGCCCAGGCCCCAUGCUCUUUAAUAACCACUUUCAUGUGUCUCUUGGAAGCCUUCUGCCUAAUCCAAUUAAUGCCUCCUGUGAUCCGAUUACUCCGAUUACUCUGUAAGAAAUCCCAAACCUGAUCACCAGGUGAUCGUGUGAGUAGCACAAGUUGAUAUGGCAUUGCAGAGAAAAGGAUUUAGUUUUGGGGACCAUCUGCUGCUGCCCCCAGGGCUCUGGCAUUUCCUUCCUAUGAGUCCUAGCUUUUGCCUGAGUCUUGAGCUGUCCCCAACCUCCUUGGUCCCCUGAGAAGAAAAUAGAUGCUUCUUAGUUACCCUUGGCCACUGGGAGGCCCUUUCCCCUCCCGGCCCCCCAUGGCUGGCUGUCCUGUGAGCAGAGCCCCCUGCCAGUAUGGCGAGGGUGGAGUAGGACUCCAGUUCCUUAUACCCACCCCCGCCCAAGUGUUGCACAGAGCAGAGUGGGAGCCUGAUCUGCCUGGACCUUUGGGAGUCCAGGGCUGGCUGAGGGACCCCUGAAACUCUCCAUCACCAGCGGACACAGCUUCACUGAACUAAGACACGAGCAGAGGGCACCACCAAGCCUGUUAGAAGACCUGCAGCAGGAGCCAGGCCAGAAGAGGGGAAUGGGCAAUUGUGCUGGGUCUUAAGGAAGCCCUCAGUCUUCCCUGGGCGUACAGGGAUCCUCUCUGUCCACAGCGUUGCAUGUAGUUACCUGAAGUGAAGCACAGGCUGAAAAAUAUUACAUGAAAAGUCCCAGAAAUGAUUCAUAAAAUGGAAAUAAUGUUCCAAAAUAACUUUUACAACAGUCUAUUAUUAUAAUUGUUCUAUUUUAUUAUGAGAUGCUGUGGCUAGCUUCCUCCUGUGCCUGAUUUGUGGAUUAAACCUUUUCAUGGGUAAA